UUAUUUUUAGUGAUUCAACUCAGAGUUCUUUAAAGAUUGAUUGCAGAGAUAAGUCUUCAAUGCCAUAGCACAAGUAAUGAAUUCUCAAAAGUUGAUUUAAAUAUAUUAACUCAUUGAAUUGGGUUAGUUUUCUAAUAGCUUCUCCAUAUGUUGGUUGGUUACCAGGUCAAAAACUUACAUCAAGUUGUUCUCUGCCUGAACCCAAACAUGAUGACAUCUACACAGGUAAUCCCAGGCUUAUCAAUAUUUCAUAAGAAAAAACAGAUUAUUUCCAAAAACUAUCUUUGUAUGAUGUUAAAAAAAUGCAGGAAAUGAGCGAGAAAUUGUGGUAUUGGAGUCAGUAGUAUUGCAUACUCUAGUAUUGCAUACUCUGGAAAAAGAAGAAACUUAAAGGUGAACAAGAGCGUGAAGUUUCUGAAAAAAAUGAAAACAAUUUGAUUUGCAGGAAAUGUCUCCAGCAUCCAGGUCAAUGUCCAAAUAUAAAAAGGCAAUCCAGGGGUCAGGUGGUAGUGAAGACUCAUUUUGUAGACAGCGAGCAACAAGCAGAGGAAGUG